rnacentral:tRNA from 1 species
GCCCCCGUAGCAUAACGGAAAUGCACCCGCCUUCUAAGCGGGCUUAUGCAGGUUCGAAUCCUGCCGGGGGUA